UACGUAGGGGGCAAGCGUUGUCCGGAUUUAUUGGGCGUAAAGAGCGUGUAGGCGGCCUGACAGGUCUGCUGUGAAAACUCGAGGCUCAACCUCGAGACGUCGGUUGAAACCGUUUGGCUAGAGUCCGGAAGAGGAGAGUGGAAUUCCCGGUGUAGCGGUGAAAUGCGCAGAUAUCGGGAAGAACACCCGUGGCGAAGGCGGCUCUCUGGGACGGUACUGACGCUGAGACGCGAAAGCGUGGGGAGCGAACAGG
rnacentral:rRNA from 1 species